ensembl:lncRNA
ACUGUGACCAGCCCAGGGCUCAGGAAGUGACUCUUGCUUUGGUUCUGCCUGGGGUGCCUGUCACACUUUCCGAUGGUUGAUCAGCUCUGCCGGAAACAUGGAGGGCCUGGCCUUCAAUGGGUCUGGGGGCAGCUCUGCUCCCACCCCAGGGAGGGUCUUUGGGCACUGAGAGAAGAAUCUGAAGAGGCCAGGUAUGGAGUGGCACAGAAGAUGCACUGAGGCGGGGCGGGAGCAGGGGGACGGGGGAGAAGUGGAGGCAUGGUGGAAGAGGGGAAAUGAAAGAGAAUCACCCCAGAGUGCUCCGGUGGGAAACCAUCCUAUUUCCUCCAAUUUCAGAUGGGAAAACUGGGUGCCAGAGGAGAUCCUGAGCCCUAGGACAGGUGGAGAAAGACAAAUUCUGAGACAGGCCCACACAGAGUGAUGCUGAGGCCUGAGGAAGUGGAGGGUGCCCUGGGCCCUGAAGAGGUGCCUGGCUGCACCCUCCAGAUGGGAUCCAGGGCUACAGCGAGGAGUCCAUGUAGGAUUUGGUCCAGGUUGGGGAUCUGCCUGUGAGAAUCAGGGUCUGGGCUGUUGUCCUUAGAGUCUGCACGAGGGGUCAUGUGCCGGACAGAGUUAGGUAAGGCCUGAAGUGGAAGUCACGGGACUGGCACAGAGGGACCAUUAAGGGAAGAGGGAGUGGGUCAAGGUAGGUGAACAUUUCGGCAUACUGGGUCCUCUCUGCCCUGCAGAAUCAGGAAGAGGCUGCUGUCCCUGGACAUCAGUCCCUUUGCCCUGCGCUGAGUGGUCCCUCUCCCAGGCCUGGGGUCAGCGGGAUCCUGGGCUCAGAGGACAAUCCAUCCUUCCUUGCUCCCCCCACCCCCAGCUGAGUGUGCAGCAAAGCUGGCUGCAGAAAUCUCUGGAAGCUCGUUGGGCAGGCAGAGGGAGGGGAGUGUUACAUAAGAACCCACUGAUGUGCAGGAAGUCUAGAGCAGCCUUUAGAUUAGAAAGGCAGCGUUCCCAUCCAGCCCAGAAAGGCAGGAAUAGCAACGGCAGUUAUUUCUGGCCCCUCACCACCGCCCAGCGCCAGGGCUGCUCAGCUUCGUGGCGGGGAGAAGAAAGCCAGAAGAGAAUGCCAGGGCCAGAAGUCUGGGAGCACAUGAGUCCCUUCUGCUCAGGCUCUAAAAUAGUUGAAGCAGGGGGAGGAGGGAAGCCCCAGGUCUCCUUCUGAGUUGCCACUUAGAAAGCUGGACCCGGCAGGUCCAAGAUGGACAUGGAACAGAGGAAAUGGGAUCUCACUUGCAUCAGAGGAGACAAAGGAAUCAAGAAGGGUCGCUGCUUGGUUUAGCUUACCCCAUCCUCCCCCUGGAGGCUGUCUGAGUUGUCUCUGGGGAACCCGUCCUCUUCUCACCUAAUGGCAAUGAAUCAUGAUCUGGUGGAGAUGGGGACAGGUCGAAAUCUUGGCAAAGAAAAGAGGAAUAAAGGAGCUCUAUGGGGGCCA